UGAACGCUAGCGACAGGCUUAACACAUGCAAGUCGAGGGGCAGCGGGGGCGAAAGCUUGCUUCGCCUGCCGGCGACCGGCGCACGGGUGAGUAACACGUAUGCGACCUGCCCCCCGCAGGGGGAUAACCGGGAGAAAUCCCGACUAAUACCGCGUAACGCCGCUGGGCUGCAUGGCCCGGCGGCCAAAGGAAGCGAUUCCGGCGGGGGAUGGGCAUGCGGCGCAUUAGCUAGUCGGCGGGGUAACGGCCCACCGAGGCGACGAUGCGUAGGGGUUCUGAGAGGAAGGUCCCCCACACUGGUACUGAGACACGGACCAGACUCCUACGGGAGGCAGCAGUGAGGAAUAUUGGUCAAUGGGCGGGAGCCUGAACCAGCCAAGUCGCGUGAGGGAAGACGGUCCUACGGAUUGUAAACCUCUUUUGCCGGGGAGCAACGGGGUCCUUGCGAGGGCCGAUGAGAGUACCCGGAGAAAAAGCAUCGGCUAACUCCGUGCCAGCAGCCGCGGUAAUACGGAGGAUGCGAGCGUUAUCCGGAUUUAUUGGGUUUAAAGGGUGCGUAGGCGGGCUGUUAAGUCAGCGGUCAAAUGUCGGGGCUCAACCCCGGCCUGCCGUUGAAACUGGCGGCCUCGAGUGGGCGAGAAGUAUGCGGAAUGCGUGGUGUAGCGGUGAAAUGCAUAGAUAUCACGCAGAACUCCGAUUGCGAAGGCAGCAUACCGGCGCCCGACUGACGCUGAGGCACGAAAGCGUGGGUAUCGAACAGGAUUAGAUACCCUGGUAGUCCACGCAGUAAACGAUGAAUGCUAGCUGUCCGGUUCUACGGGACUGGGUGGCACAGCGAAAGCGUUAAGCAUUCCACCUGGGGAGUACGCCGGCAACGGUGAAACUCAAAGGAAUUGACGGGGGCCCGCACAAGCGGAGGAACAUGUGGUUUAAUUCGAUGAUACGCGAGGAACCUUACCCGGGCUCAAACGCCAAAGGACAGCCGCUGAAAGGCGGCCUCCCUCCGGGGUCUUUGGCGAGGUGCUGCAUGGUUGUCGUCAGCUCGUGCCGUGAGGUGUCGGCUUAAGUGCCAUAACGAGCGCAACCCCCAUCGACAGUUGCUAACGGGUGAUGCCGAGGACUCUGUCGAGACUGCCGGCGCAAGCUGCGAGGAAGGCGGGGAUGACGUCAAAUCAGCACGGCCCUUACGUCCGGGGCGACACACGUGUUACAAUGGCCGGUACAGCGGGAUGCCAGGGCGCGAGCCCGAGCGGAACCCGAAAACCGGUCUCAGUUCGGAUUGGAGUCCGCAACCCGACUCCAUGAAGCUGGAUUCGCUAGUAAUCGCGCAUCAGCCACGGCGCGGUGAAUACGUUCCCGGGCCUUGCACACACCGCCCGUCA
rnacentral:rRNA from 1 species